GACGAACGCUGGCGGCGUGCUUAACACAUGCAAGUCGAACGGAAAGGCCCUGCUUUUGUGGGGUGCUCGAGUGGCGAACGGGUGAGUAACACGUGAGUAACCUGCCCUUGACUUUGGGAUAACUUCAGGAAACUGGGGCUAAUACCGGAUAGGAGCUCCUGCUGCAUGGUGGGGGUUGGAAAGUUUCGGCGGUUGGGGAUGGACUCGCGGCUUAUCAGCUUGUUGGUGGGGUAGUGGCUUACCAAGGCUUUGACGGGUAGCCGGCCUGAGAGGGUGACCGGCCACAUUGGGACUGAGAUACGGCCCAGACUCCUACGGGAGGCAGCAGUGGGGAAUAUUGCACAAUGGGCGGAAGCCUGAUGAAGCAACGCCGCGUGCGGGAUGACGGCCUUCGGGUUGUAAACCGCUUUCGCCUGUGACGAAGCGUGAGUGACGGUAAUGGGUAAAGAAGCACCGGCUAACUAUGUG
rnacentral:rRNA from 1 species